AGGAGGUAAAAACAGAACUGCUAAUUCCAAGCCCUAAGACUAACCCUCUUAGACCUCCUA
rnacentral:tRNA from 1 species